ensembl:lncRNA
GUAAUUAUUACCCAUGCAAAUCGUUUACAUUUUAUUGUUGUAUUAGUCAGCUAACAAAAUUUUUCAACAGUCACAACUGCAGCCUAAUAAAAUAUUUUGAAGUAAAGCUUACCUUCUCUGAAUAAGUAAUUGUUAAUAAGUCAUGUUGUUCAAUUUUUAAUAACAAUUAUUGGGUAUUAAGUGCUUACAAUCUAAAGUAUAUUUUAUGUGGCAAGCCCAUGCGUGGGUUUCCACGUCACUGUUCAAGAACACAAGCCGGCCUCUGGGUAGUUCAACAGUUUAUUGAGAGUAAAUUGAUCGUGUAGGAGGAUAAAGCUCAACACCACGUCACCGUGUCCAAGUCGUUCUCGUAGUCUUCUUCUACCAGGUGGUACACAAACGGGUCCUCUUCCAAAGCAGUUCGGUACACGGGAGGGUUGUCAUCCAGUCCAGGUUAAUCCAGUUAAUCUUACACUCUUCUUUUUUUCUACUUUCUCUACUACGUCUCACUUGGUCUUGCUUUACUUUAAAUGUGGUGAAAUCUUCCCAAACAAACAUUGCAAAGCAAAUUGUUACCUCACAGUUAUUGAGUAGAUUCUAUAGGUUGUUUUUUACAGUGAUGGAACAGGUGAUUGGACUAACUGUCAAUCGCCAAGCCUGAUAAAUGUAUUAGUUAAAUGUGGUUAACUAAUGAUAUUCAGUAUUAAAGUCAUGUUCUUAGGUAUAAUGAUGAAUCCACACUGUGACUUAAAACCCGUUGAUUUUGUGUUGUUUGGAAGUCUGGAAUUUAACGGCAGUUUAUUCUUAUGAGAGACUAUGAGUGAAACAUCUUCAGGGAAACCAGCUUUACUUUGUGGUUGUAGUUCUCAGGGAGGUCGUCAUUAGCAUCAACGCUUUGUGUGUUUGUAACAAGCAAGAUGAGAAACACAAAAGAGCAUCACGAUGUAAAGACACACUGUAGAUUAUUGAUGUAAUAUUUGAGCCUCUUCUUCUCUGUCUCCUCUCACAUGAAGGAUAUGAUCUGCAGGAUCCUGGUGAUCUUCAUCCUGACCUCCUGUUUCUGUGGGUCAUUUGUAGUGAAUGUGACACAGAGCUGGUAUCAUGCAGAGGAGAACCACAACAUCUCACUGGAAUGGAUGUUCCCCACCAGCACGGACCACUCCCCCAACUCCCUUCAUAUCACCUGUCAGAUGUUAUAUUCUGAUAGACCUUUAGUCCUGUUUCAUCUAUAUGAAGGUGUCGAGGUCCCAGAGUUUCAGGAUAAACGCUUUGCAGGACGAGUCCAGUGGGACAAAGACGUCCUCAGAGAAGGACGACUCAGACUUCACAUCUCCAGACUCCAGACUAAUGACUCGGGGCUGUACUGGUGUGAAGUGGACACAAGUUAUGGGAGGAACUAUAAGGAAUGUCACCUCAAUGUCACUGCAGUGAAGGAUCGGCCCGAACAUGAGACAACGAGUGAUACGAGUCUGAGAGGAGAUCCUCGAGGAAGGAUCGGUCUCUGUGCACUGGGACCAGCAGCAGCUCUACUUGCUUCCUUUUUUUGCCUGUGCAUUGCCAAAAAGAUUUAUGAUCAGCAGAACAAACGAUGCAUCAGAACCACAAUUGAAGUCAUUGAUCCUUUAAUUGUUUGCACAGAAACAGUCUCAAACUGUUCUGACUGAAGUCCAGCUGAGACACAUCUGGAUCCUCGGAUGUGUCAUGUGUGUCUCAUGAAUCAACAGCAGCCAGCAUGAAGAGUGACCUCUGGAGCUGUGGACGGAUGCACAUCGUCAGACUAGAAUUGGGUUGGGAACCAUUGCAACAGACUACCUGCUCUUUAGCAUGUUGGACACACCAGCAUGACACUGUUACAGAAAAUGCAUUUCACGCCAAAUAACACUGAUCUGCUGAAGCCUGUUUUGGGAGGAGGUUGUUUUAAAACUGUGAUUGUGAUCUUCUUGAUCUUUUUCUUUAACUGAUAACUUAAAGAGCCAAGUUCAAUUAACACAAACACAUCUCAAAGAAGUCAACACAAAGCAUUACUGUAAGUUUAAGUGUUAACUUGAACAGUUAAGUUCAAAUCUAAAACUUGUCAGAGCUCUUUGAGUUAAAGACAAGAAGAAAGUGGACAUAACUAAACGGGGCGGUGAUGUUUUACAGUGCGGUUCGACCUGUGUUCUCGGUGUCCUUGCGCUCCAGUGCCUCACAGCAGCACACUGCUAAGGCUGCGUAAAAUGCAGAGAAUCAUUUCCCCAUGUGGGAUUAAUAAAGGAUUAUAAAUAAAAUUAUUAUUUUUUUAAAAACACAUUUCCCCCAGCCCCUCGCUCAGCACCUGUAAUACCUCUGCGCCCCACAGUUUGAGAACCACUGCUUUAAGUGUUUGCACAGUAACAGUCUGAGGUGUUCUGACUGAAGUCCAGCUGAGACACAUCUGGAUCUUUGGAUGUUUCAUGUGUGUCUCAUGGAUCAACAGCACCAUGAAGGUCUCAGUGGACGUCUACAGAGACAAUUGUGACAAAUUGACCAGGUAGCACUACAUUAUCACUUAUGAUGGCGCUUACUGCUUAUAGCACUUUUUACAGAUUAGAUUUCUUGAAGAAUGUGUACUUUCCUGAUUGUUGUUGUUCUGGUUCUGUUCCCUCUUGAUUGAAUUAGCUUAUAAGUCACUUUGGAUCAAAUCAUUGGCUGGGUGAUAAAUGUAAAGCACUUUGACGGGUCUGAGACUAGAAAAGCGAUUUAGUCAAUUUACCAUUUAGUGUGUUUAUGUCCAUUAACCUUAUUGUAUUUGUACAAAAGAAAUGUGAUAAAUGCCUUUAACGUGUAACCAAAAUUGUGUAUUUCAUGUACGUUCUGUGUUGGAAUGGAGUCCUUGUAUAUAUAUUUAUAGACAUGAUAAAAAGUGUCUUAAAAACCCC